GACGAACGCUGGCGGCGUGCUUAACACAUGCAAGUCGAACGGAAAGGCCUGCUUUCCCUUGUGGAUUGCGGGUACUCGAGUGGCGAACGGGUGAGUAACACGUGAGUGAUCUGCCCCCAACUUGGGUAUAAGCCUGGGAAACUGGGUAUAAUUCCCGAUAGGACUGCAGGGUGGUGCCUGUGGUGGAAAACGAUUUUCUAGUGGUUGGGGAUGAGCUCGCGGCCUAUCAGCUUGUUGGUGGGGUAAUGGCCUACCAAGGCGGCGACGGGUAGCCGGCCUGAGAGGGUGGACGGCCACAUUGGGACUGAGAUACGGCCCAGACUCCUACGGGAGGCAGCAGUGGGGAAUAUUGCACAAUGGGCGGAAGCCUGAUGCAGCGACGCCGCGUGGGGGAUGACGGCCUUCGGGUUGUAAACUCCUUUCGACCGCGAGGAAGCCACCUGGUUGGAAGGGUGGUGACGGUAGUGGUAGAAGAAGCACCGGCUAACUACGUG
rnacentral:rRNA from 1 species